GUUGCUGAGCUAGGUUCGGGGGAGCGGGAAGUUGGAAUCCAACCACUGUGAGGCGUGGCCAAGUGCGUCACGUUGCUCAAAAGACUGUCCUUAGAAACCCGCCAUCCCUCCUGUCCCGUUCCUCUCACCUUCCUUCGCGGCAUUGCCGGCGGCUGCGGCCCGACGGUUCCGAUUCGGGCAGCGGCGGCAGCAGCAGUAGGAACGGUGGCUCCGGCGGGCUCCGUGGCGGCCUCUGUAGCAGUCCCAAUCCUGCGUACGAUCCCAAGUGCCUCUUGCUUCACAGCGUCUACAGCCUUCUGCGCAGGCGCCGCGGGCUGAGGCGCUUUUUCCUCUACUUCCGGCUGGGGUUCGCGUCACCUGACGUUGCGGGUCAGAGAGGAUGCUGGGAGGUUCGCUCCUCCGGUGAGGCUACUGAGCGCCAUUUUGGACUUGGUCAGGAAGUGACACUGAUGGUGGAAACCGGGGUGAGCCGUGUUUAGUUAGGGGAAUGGCACCCUUUGUAGGCGUGGGUAGCCAUUCCUGUUUGGGGCAGAAGCCCGACAGUUGAAGUUAACGGUUCUCAUCUUUACCUUGGGCAACAUUACCCUUCCCGGUCGUUUUCAUUUCCGAAGUCGGAGAAGGAAAGCCCCAGAAUCCAUCAGGUUGCUGAGGUUUAACGCCUUCGUCGCCGAAUUGGCUAAAGGACGUUUCCGUUUAUGACAUAAACUCAAAGUUGGGAAGGGGUAUUUUGCAGAAGAAACUAUAUUUUAACAGCCAUCCUGUGUCUCAAAGUGGUGAGAAUGGGGGCUUGUGAAAGGAACGAAAGGGUAGCGUCUAUCAUCGGGAAGUUUCUUGUCUGGUAGAGGAGACAUUGUCCUUGCCCUUAGCGAACAGCAAGUAAGUUAAUCCGAUCACUCGCGAAAGGAGACAGAACCAUUCUCCAGAAGCUGUAGCUCCAAAGAAUUACCAAUUUAGUUCUGUGGUGAGCACAUUCUGUAUGGGUUUGAGAGCCUUGGGUGGCCCGCAGGGUGAGAGUGGGCGCCAUAGCAGAGCCGGAGAAGCAUUGAACCCGUUAGCCCAAGUGACCUCUCGAAUGCAGAUGCUGGAGCCAGGAGUUGGGGGAAGGGGGAAGAGGAAGGAAUAUUUUUAGUAAAGCUGGAGCUCAGAAAGGCGUUGAUUUUUAAAUAAUAGUGAGAGCGCCUUGAAAGGAGAAGUUUUGGAAGAUGUAAGGCUAGAAGAGUCAUAAGAAAAGGCUGGGAAGUGGACAGCAGGCAUUGAGGAUUUAGCCUCGCUGGAAGAAAAGCCUUGAGAAGACCAAGGCUUGGCCCAGAGCUCAUGGGUGGAAUCCAGCCCAGCUCAGUCAUUAAGUUAGGAUCCUGGACCCCAGUUUCACCUGAGGGUAGCUAAGAUGGAGAUUUCCCCCUGGAGCUGAGCUAAGGAACAAAGCCGCAGAAGGUAAACAACUGAUUAAUGUGCUGAACAGAGGACGCUGAAGAAUUGAAGUUCCAGACCCUUGGACUUAAGCAUUUAAUUUCACACUAUUACUGUUAUUUUGCACUUACUGGAGUGUUCCUGAGGUUACUCUUGGAUGUUGUGGCUCCCCGACUAUUGGGGACACAGGUUCAGGCCCUGUUCUGGGAAGAUCCCACAUGCCGCUGAGCAACUAAGCCCAUGUGCCACAACUACUGAGCCUGUGCUCUAGAGCCCGCAAGCCACAAGUACUGAGCCCACACGCCAUAACUACUGAAACCCGUGCGCCUAGAACCUGUGCUCCACAGCAAGGGAAGACACCGCAGUGAGAAGCCUGCACACCGCAGCGAAGAGUAGCCGCGGCUUUCUGCAACUAGAGAAAAGCCUGCGCACAGCAACGAAGACCCA